rnacentral:rRNA from 1 species
GAUGAACGCUGGCGGCGUGCCUAAUACAUGCAAGUCGAGCGAACAGACGAGGAGCUUGCUCCUCUUACGUUAGCGGCGGACGGGUGAGUAACACGUGGAUAACCUACCUAUAAGACUGGGAUAACUUCGGGAAACCGGAGCUAAUACCGGAUAAUAUAUUGAACCGCAUGGUUCAAUAGUGAAAGACGCUUUUGCUGUCACUUAUAGAUGGACCCGCGCUGCUUUACCUAGUUGGUAAGGUAACGGCUUACCAAGGCAACGAUGCGUAGCCGACGUGAGAGGGUGAUCGGCCACACUGGAACUGAGACACGGUCCAGACUCCUACGGGAGGCAGCAGUAGGGAAUCUGCCGAAAUGGGAGAAAGCCUGACGGAGCAACGCCGCGUGAGUGAUGAAGGUCUGCGGAUCGUAAAACUCUGUUAUUAGGGAAGAACAAAUGUGUAAGUAACGAUGCACGUCUGGACGGUACCUAAUCAGAAAGCCACGGCUAACUACGU